GCCAUAUCACGUUGAAACAUCGGUUCUCGCAAGAUCACCGAAGUUAAGCAACGUCGAGCUUGGUUAGUACCUAGAUGGGUAACUGCAUGGGAAUACCAGGUGGAG